rnacentral:tRNA from 1 species
AGGAAAGGGAGGGAUUA